rnacentral:rRNA from 1 species
GACGAACGCUGGCGGCGUGCCUAAUACAUGCAAGUUGAGCGCUGAAGGUUGGUACUUGUACCGACUGGAUGAGCAGCGAACGGGUGAGUAACGCAUGGGGAAUCUGCCUUUGAGCGGGGGACAACAUUUGGAAACGAAUGCUAAUACCGCAUAAAAACUUUAAACACAAGUUUUAAGUUUGAAAGAUGCAAUUGCAUCACUCAAAGAUGAUCCCGCGUUGUACUAGCUAGUUGGUGAGGUAAAGGCUCACCAAGGCGAUGAUACAUAGCCGACCUGAGAGGGUGAUCGGCCACAUUGGGACUGAGACACGGCCCAAACUCCUACGGGAGGCAGCAGUAGGGAAUCUUCGGCAAUGGACGAAAGUCUGACCGAGCAACGCCGCGUGAGUGAAGAAGGUUUUCGGAUCGUAAAACUCUGUUGGUAGAGAAGAACGUUGGUGAGAGUGGAAAGCUCAUCAAGUGACGGUAACUACCCAGAAAGGGACGGCUAACUACGUG